rnacentral:lncRNA from 1 species
CAAUAAGUGGCAGCGGUGCGCAUGACCGUGUCCACUCCCCGACGACAUUUAUCUCCACGGUAGCCAUCCCACCCUCUUCGACACCCUCUUCGAUAGGAGCAACAUCAUUAUUUAUAUACAUGACUACGCCUUCAUCAACUGAAGCUUCAACCCACUCGAUUGACCAUAGGAUGGAAGAGCCGACGGACGACAAGGACCCCGAUCCACCAUCAGUGUACCCUCGGUCUCCCC